rnacentral:tRNA from 1 species
CGGGAUGUAGUACAGCGGUAGUAUAUGCGAUUCGGGUUCGCAAGACCCGGGUUCGAUUCCCGGCAUCCCGA